rnacentral:tRNA from 1 species
GGCUGGGUAGCUCAGCUGGUUAGAGCGCACGACUCAUAAUCGUGAGGUCGCGGGAUCGAGCCCCGCUCCAGCUA